AUUGAACGCUGGCGGCAGGCCUAACACAUGCAAGUAGAACGAGUGGCGGACGGGUGAGUAAUGUCUGGGAAACUGCCUGAUGGAGGGGGAUAACUACUGGAAACGGUAGCUAAUACCGCAUACCAUCAGAUGUGCCCAGAUGGGAUUUGCUUGUUGGUGGGGUAACGGCUCACCAAGGCGACGAUCCCUAGCUGGUCUGAGAGGAUGACGAGCAACCCGGGAAUUGCGACACGGUCCAGACUCCUACGGGAGGCAGAAGUGGGGAAUAUUGGACAAUGGGGGAAAGCCGGAUGAAGCCAUGCCGCGUGGAUGAAGAAGGCCUUCGGGUUGUAAAGUACUUUCAGCGGGGAGGCGUUACCCGCAGAAGAAGCACCGGCUAACUCCGUGCCAGCAGCCGCGGUAAUUC
rnacentral:rRNA from 1 species